UCAAGACUAAGCCAUGCAUGUCCAAGUAUAAACGCUGUUAUACUGUGAAACUGCGAAUGGCUCAUUAAAUCAGUUAUAGUUUAUUUGAUGGUUCCUUGCUACUUGGAUAACCGUAGUAAUUCUAGAGCUAAUACAUGCAGAAAGUCCCGACUUCUGGAAGGGAUGUAUUUAUUAGAUCCAAAACCAGCGCGGGUCUCCUCGUGGGGCUCGGUUGCUCGGUGAUUCAUGAUAACUGCUCGAAUCGCAGGGCCUCGUGCCGGCGAUGAUCCAUUCAAAUUUCUGCCCUAUCAACUUUCGAUGGUACGGUAGUGGCCUACCAUGGUUGCAACGGGUGACGGAGAAUUAGGGUUCGAUUCCGGAGAGGGAGCCUGAGAAACGGCUACCACAUCCAAGGAAGGCAGCAGGCGCGCAAAUUACCCAAUCCCGACUCGGGGAGGUAGUGACAAUAAAUAACAAUGCCGGGCUAUGUUAGUCUGGCAAUUGGAAUGAGUACAAUCUAAACCCCUUAACGAGGAACAAUUGGAGGGCAAGUCUGGUGCCAGCAGCCGCGGUAAUUCCAGCUCCAAUAGCGUAUAUUAAAGUUGUUGCAGUUAAAAAGCUCGUAGUUGGAUUUCGGGGCAGCCCGUCUGGUCCGUCGCGAGGCGAGUACUGGUCGUGCGCCCUUCCUCUCGGAGGCCCCGACUGCUCUUCGUUGCAGUGGUCGGGGAGUUCGGGACGUUUACUUUGAAAAAAUUAGAGUGUUCAAGGCAGGCCGUCGCCUGAAUACGUUAGCAUGGAAUAAUGGAAGAGGACCUCGGUCCUAUUUUGUUGGUUUCCAGGGCCGAAGUAAUGAUUAAGAGGGACAGUUGGGGGCAUUCGUAUUUAAUUGUCAGAGGUGAAAUUCUCGGAUUUAUGAAAGACGAACAAGUGCGAAAGCAUUUGCCAAGGAUGUUUUCAUUAAUCAAGAACGAAAGUUGGGGGUUCGA
rnacentral:rRNA from 1 species